UUUCGUUAAAACUCUUUAACGAAACAGAAUGCAAAACCUUCUCUGUUUAGCACAGAGAAGGUUUUGCAUUAGACUUGAAAUGUGUCUGGCUUUAAAAUUGAGCAUACACACUGUAAAACAAUAUCUAUAUCAACAUUAAAAUAUAUUAUUAAUAUAUUGUACAUGCACAACAAAAAAGGUACAUAGAGCAACAAAAAGGGUUGAACCUGCUUCAAGGCCUUUUUCCUGAACUGUUUUCCAGAGAAAGAAACCGAUGCAGGGCUGGACUCUGGUGGCCAUUUCAAGUCACUGAUCCAGAGAACAGUAUAUUAAAAAAAAAGUUCUCAGAAUGUUGCUCUCUUAGAAAUAUGUCAACCAUGGCUGUUUUCUAGUUCUCUGAAUGUAUUUGCAUAAAACGUGUUUCAACGUUCGCGCUGUGGGCUCAUCUGGGUUCAUCUUCUUCUCGUAAAAAGACGACUUAUGGAAAUAUAAUAAGUACAUUUAGAAAAAAGUAAUACACCAAAUAAAUGUUUAGCUUUAUAAAAAGAAUUAAGCUUUUUUUUAAAUAUGCUUUAUUAUAAUACCUUGGUGUGGAUGGAUGUGUCUGACUACAGUAAGUAUGGAAAGUCCCUGUGGAACCAGAAGAAGAAGCUGAAACAUCACUUUCGGGUUCGACAUGGUACGGGAAAUGUUUUUGCCAUUUCGGCAGCUCAGCUCAGAGACGUGCAUUUUGCUGACACACAUCUGUGUACUAGUUAAGUUCAUUUAAGGCGAGGUUUGGUAUGCUACUUGGAAAGCCUUUUAGUAUGGUUUAAUAUGGUUGCAGAGGGGAAGUAUACUUAAUAACCUUUGUAGCGUUUCUUGGUGGGCUCGGCUCAGCCCCGACAGCCACUUUCUCAACGUGACUCAAAACAGACGUUUAAGUGUCCGGUCUCACUCCACAGCUCAUCACUGCUCCUCUGCGUCUCUACGACAGAGACAUGAGGACAAUACAGCGCCUGCUGCUCCUGGCAGGUAAGAGCCAGUGAAACUACACCGGGAUUGCUGGGGUUAAAAAUAUUAUUUAUAUACAUAUAAAUAUAUAUAUUUAUCUGGAUCUUGGUGAUCGAGGGAAUUAAUACAUUUUUCAAAUUUCCAAAACUAAAUGACAAAAGAAUCCAAAGGGUGGUGGGAAUCAGUGUGUUCCGAAUUCCUCUUUUUGAACUUUGUCUGCUC
ensembl:lncRNA